ACCUCUCUCCUCUCUCCAUGAAGCCACCACCACCGCACACACUCGCCAGGAAAUGCUUUGGAUGGAGCGUCGAAUACUAGUCCCUCCCUCUCCUGCCUUCUCUCUCUAGGCUUAACUUGCCUUGCCAAGAAAAUCUUGGAUUUUUCCCGAGGCUUCCCGUCUGAUAUCCAUGGUUCGUGGUGGUCUGGUGGAGAUUUCUUCUCUUUCCUGCAGGCUCUUUAUCAGAUUUCCCAUGCUGCAAUCAUGAAAACUUCCAUGAAGAAGGGGUAAUGAAAAUCGUGCUUUGCCUCUUGGAUCAUGGAGAAGAAGCGGCUUGCAUUGUUCCAAACAAUGUUGAGGGACAACCAACAUCGUGUGGCAAAAGGAUAUGUGAAGAAAAGGUGAUAGGUGGUCACUUCAACAUUCUGAGCGCAGAGAACACAUCUAUAAUCAUUCCCUACAAUAUGGAAUUUUUUUCUUCUAAGAAGAUUCAUGGAAUUAAGCCUGUCUUUGAAGAGUAGCCAAUCAAAUACUUUGAUUUUUUUAUGCACUUGGAUUUCCAGAUCCAAUUAGAGGGGGGUGGGGUGAGAUUGCCUUGAAAUUGGAGGCAUAGAACUUCCAGGAAGAGUUGCUGUUGGAGCCCCAGCAACAUUCCCAUGUGUCCCUUUGGUUGGCUGAGACCUGUACUUGAGCCAUAAUCUCAUGAAGUAUUAUAAGUUCAUCAAGUGCUUGCUGGCUCAUUGGUGAGUGAAACUGAUCUUGAUGGCUUCCAAGUAGUACAACUGUGAGUAGUUCUUAUUACCGCAGCGUACCAGUAAUUGUCAUUUGCUACUUCUUUUAACAUUGUUUAACGAAUUUUGCAUACUAUAGAUUGUUUUGCGCCCUUUGUGUUAUUCUGUCACAAUAACUCUUUUUGUCAUAAGAAAAUAUCUUCUUCACUUAUGAUCAUGACAAUUGUUUUUGAAAUGUACAUACCAAGAAUUUGCUACCUCCAUUUUCCUUUUAUUUGUCGUUAUGGACAUAAACACAAUGUUCCAAUAAAUGUAUUUAAUUAUUACUUUUUUCUAGUCACUACAAAGUGCUAGAUUUUUUUAAAAAACAGACAAAUAAGUAUUUUGAGGACAACCUACAAUUGUCAUUUCCAUAUGACAAAUCAUGAAUCUAAUACUUCUAUGCAUAUAAGUGGUCAAAAUUUUUGAAGUUGACUACAUGAACCAUACCAUAAGACAUUUGUAUGAGAAUGGAGGUGUACUAUGUAUGCCAAGUAUGAUCAUUCAUUAAUUGGGCACUGAAAACCCCAUGGACUUUAUUAGGCAUGUACGGUGCAAGUUCUUAUAGUGGUGCUUAGCAAAAUACAACUACUUACCCUUGCAAGCCGCCAUGUCGAAUAGGUAGACAAAUGGUACUUAUUUUGAUGCAUCAAUGCUCAGGUAGACACCUAUGUCGAAUAGGUUCUUGUGGAUAUAAUUACAUAUAAUUUAGGAAAUUACACUUUUGUUCUUAUUAUUUCAGCAAAAUCAGUUUCCCAUAUGGAAAAUUAUCUAUUUUAUUUUUAUAGUUUUGCAAUAUUUGCAAUUUUUUAAUACUAAUUAAAUGACAUUGCAUUGUUAUAGAUAAAAUUCAUAUUAGCUUGCGCUUGAAGAUGCUGACAUGGGCUUGACAUGCGCCAUAAUGUCGCCUCUGCCAUUCUAUGGGGCUCUUUCAAGUUCCACCCUUUUUGCAUAGCAUUUUUACCGAACAUUUUGCUGCUACACUCGGCCUACACAUUCUCAUCAGCUGUCCAUCAUACUAGCAAACUUGCUUGGUCGGUACCUCAUUCACCAUUUGCACUGCUUAGCCAAAUUAAACCCCCAAGGAGACUCAAAGAGGCGGCUUCACUUGAUUGUGAUGAAGAGAAUAGUUAGACGAUGGAACAAUCAACUUUUUUUAAUUAGAAAAAGUCUACAUAACCCCACAAACUAUCGACUGGUAUAUACUUAAAACCCUGAACUACAAAAUCAGGUAUUGUGGACCUUAAACUUUACAAAAUUGUUUACUUAACCCUCUAACUUGGUUUCUAAGGCUUUUUUCACCUCACUGGCAUCCACGUUGGCACUGGUUUUGCCACACAGGUGGGGAUGGGCACUAGGACCACAUGUGAGUGGCACAUGUUAUGGACCCUUCUUCUUUCUUCUUCUUUCUUUUCACCCCACCCAGUCCUUCCCCUGUGCUUCUUCUCCACUCGCUCCGGUGUCGCCUCGAUGGGACCGUGCCGUCACCCCUCUUUUCUCUUGUUCCACACCCAAGCGCCACGUCGCACCCUCUCCUCAGCCUAAGCACAUUGCUCCCCUCCCUUCUUCGCCUGGGCCGCAUCGGCUUGCGCCCUACCUCCUCAGGUCGUGCUGCCUCCUCCAAGUUCAAGCUCCCCCUUAUCUCUAGCGAAUUUGGUUUGGGUUUGUUUGAAUCGGAGUCCAGCCGCCGCAAUCCAUGGAAUUUGUAACCAAUUCAAUCUCGAGUGGUAGCCUUGGUUGCCGGCCUAUAUAUAGAAGGGAGGGUAUUGCUGUGAGAGGGGAAGAUUGGAGGAAGAGCGUCGAAGCCCUAUCAAGAUCUCGCUAUCACCCUGGCCCUCAUCCUUUGCCGCUGCCGAGCUCAGCUUGAACUCUUUCUAUUGACAAAUAGUAACGUCAGGGAGCUGGUUAGAAUAUGGUGGUGCUCGCUGUCGGGCCCUUGCAGCCCUUGUGAUGGAGAAGCUCGCUGUUGCCGCCGGUCACCGCGAUGAGUUGCCCUCUUUUCUCUCCAUCCUUUGUCGCAUGUCAUCCAUGAUAACGCGGGUCCUUGUUGGCUGCUGGUGACACCGUGUGUUGAGGUGCCUGUUGACACCGUGGUGCCCGCCACCGUUGCACUCUAUUGCCUGUUGAUGCCUUCUUGCUCGCGGACGAUGAUGGUCAACCUGAGGCCGUCGCUCUGUCCUCGCUCUGGUGCUCUCGAUGCAUGUCAUGAUCGCGUUGGUUCUAUUAAGCUUGUUGUUAGUGCUGUUGUCGUAUUCCUGACGUCUGAUGCCAUCCUGUUGUGCUGCCAAGUAUAUCACAAUUCACCAAGGCCCUUCUGUUAUCGCUUGUCAUCUGGCCGAUGAUGGCCAAGCUGAGGCCGCCCGAUGUUGCCACCAUUGAGAUGCUCCAGGCGGUGUGAACUCUAUUAUCAUUAAGGUGCUCAACUGGUGUGUAGGCGUGCGUUGUUGUCGCCAUUGUUCUGAUCGAUCUUUGGCUGGGCCAAGAUAAAAGAAAGAAGAAAGAAGAAGGGUCCCUAACCUAUGCCAUUGACAUGCGGUCCUUGUGCUUGUCCCCGCCUGUGUGGCAAAAUCAGUGCCAACGUGGAUGCCAGCGAGGCAAAAAUAGCCUCAGAAACAAGGUUAGGGGGUUCGGUAAAUGGUUUUACAAAUUUAAGUUCCACAAUACCUAGUUUGUAGUACGGGGUUUUAAGUAUACACCACUCGAUAGUUUAGGGGGUUAUGUAGACUUUUUCCUUUCAAUUAUACUGAUUAUGGAACAUAUAUUGGAAUUUUUUAAAGGUGGAAUAAAUAAUCAUGUAUAAAUUAUGGACUUUGUUGUAUGCGAGUCGAUGGAAAGAGUCAAAUGAGAACCACAUUAAACUAGGACAUGGAGAUCUAGAAAUAUUGGCACUGUGCAAAUAUCUAAAAAUAAUGACCACCUUACAUAGCAUUUUCACCGAACAUUUUGCCGCUACACUCGGCCUACACAUUCUCAGCUGUCCAUCAUACUAGCAAACUUGCUUGAUCGGUACCUCAUUCACCAUUUGCACUGCUUAGCCAAAUUAAUCCCCCAAGGAGACUCAAAGAGGCGGCUUCACUUCAUUGUGAUGAAGAGAAUAGUUAAACGAUGGAACAAUCAAUUUUUUUUAAUUAGGGAAAAGUCUACAUAACUCUCUAAAUUAUCGACUGGUGUAUAAUUAAAACCCUGAACUACAAAAUCAAGUAUUGUUGACAUUAAACUUUGCAAAACCGUUUACUUAACCCCCUAACUUGGUUUAUGAGGGUUUUUUCACCUCACUGGCAUCCACACUGGCACUGGUUUUGCCACAUAGGUGGGGAUGGGCACUAGGACCGCAUGUCAGUGGCACAUGUUAUGGACCCUUCUUCUUUUUUUUUCUUCCCAUCCAACCCUUCCCCUGUGCUUCUUCUCCACUCGCUCCGGUGUCACCUCGAUGGGACUGUGCUGCCACCCCUCUUCUCUCUUGGUCCACACCCGGGCGCGCCGCAUCGCACCCUCUCCUCGGCCUGAGCACAUUGCUCCCCUCCCUCCUUCGCCUAGGCCGCAUCGGCCUACACCCUACCUCCUCAGGUCACGCCGCCUCCUCCAUGAUCGAGUCCCCCCCCCCUCCUAUCUCUAGCAGAUGUGGUUUGGGUUUGUUUGAAUCGGAGUCCGGCCACCGCAAUCCAUGGAAUUCGUAACUGAUUGAAUCUUGAGCAGUAGCCCUGGUUGCCGGCCUAUAUAUAGAAGGGAGGGUACUGCUGUGAGAGGGGAAGAUUGGAGGAAGAGCGUUGAAGCCCUAUCAAGAUCUUGUUGUCACCCUGGCUCUCAUCCUUUGCCGCCAUCGAGCUCAAUUUGAACUCUUGCUAUUGACAAAUAGGUUGUCAGGGAGCCGGUUGGAAUAUGGUGGUGCUCGCUGCCCAGCCCUUGCAGCCCUCGUGAUGGAAAAGCUCGUUGUUGCUGCCGGUCCCUGCGUGAGUUGCCCUCUUUUCUCUACAUCCUUUGUCGCAAGUCAUCCAUGAUAACCUUGUUGACCGCUGGUGACGUCGCGUGUCAAGGUGCCUGUUCACACCGUGGUGCCCGCCACCGCCUCACUCUAUUGCUUGUUGAUGCCUUCUUGCUCGGGACUGAUGAUGGUCAAGCUGAGGCCGUCGCUUUGUCCUCGCUCUGGUGCGCUCUUCUGUUAUCACUUGUCCUCUGUCCGAUGAUGGCCAAACUGAGGCCACCCGAUGCCGCCACCAUUGAGAUGCUCUAGGUGGUGCGAUCACUAUUGCCAUUAAGGUACUCAGCUGGUGUGCAGGCGUGCAUUGUUGUUGCCAUUGUUCUGAUCGAUCUUUGGCUGGGCCAGGAGAAAAGAAAGAAGAAAGAAGAAAGGUCCCUAACCUGUGCCAUUGACAUGCGGUCCUUGUGCUUGUCCCUGCCUGUGUGGCAAAAUCAGUGCCAACGUGGACGCCAGCAAGGCGAAAAUAGCCUCAGAAACCAGGUUAGGGGGUAAAGUAAACAGUUUUACAAAGUUUAAGUUCCACAAUACCUGGUUUUGUAGUACGAGGUUUUAAGUAUACACCACUCGAUAGUUUAGGGAGUUAUGUAAACUUUUUCCUUUCAAUUGUACUGAUUAUGGAACAGAUAUUGGAGUUUUUUAAAGGCAGAAUAAAUAAUCAUGUACAAAUUAUGGACUUUGUUGUAUGUGAGUCGAUGGAAAGAGUCAAAUGAGAACCACCUUAAACUAGGACAUGGAGAUCUAGAAAUAUUGGCACUGUGCAAAUAUCUAAAAAUGAUGACCACCUUAUAUUUUUCUUUAGAUCACCAUGUUUCUUUUUUAGUGUGUGUUUCAUAUCGGCGCUGUUGCUUUCCCCUACAAAUCAAGCAGUUGUUUCCAUUUUUCAAUUUGUCUUCCAGUUGUGUUCACAUCGAUGUUUACGGUUAGCUGGUUCUCCAGCUCUUCCCAUUCUUUUGUAUUUCUCUGCUAACCUGUGAGUUGACAUGAUAUUCAUAUGCUUACCAUUGUGAUCAUUACCUUUCGCUGUUUACUUAUUGAGACAUUUUUAUCCCACCCUUGCUUCCUAGCCUGUUGCUCCUGGCAGAAACAAGCUGAGUAGCAUUCAUUGGCAUGAGCUUCUACUUUUCUGAUCUUACAAAUAUUUUCAACAAAAUCCCAUGGUCUCAGUUUGAUCUUUAUUCUGUGUUAAAUUCUCCUCUGUUUUUUUUUUGCAUGCUUAGGUUCUUGGAUUUUACAUUCGUAUCAUUUUAUUGGAUAUUUCGGCCAAGUUUUUGAGUAGACAUUAAUUUACAUUUUUCUAUCGAUUGCAAUGGCAUUUUGCUUGGUGUUGAUAUAGAAGCAAUGGCUGUGGAUCUUACAGAAAAACAUCCAAAAUGAAGAAUCCCACAGUCUGUAGUUUUUGGUGUAUUCUUGAUCCUACCAUCCAUGGUUUAGCCUGAUUAUUGGUUUUAUUUUUGUUCCAUUCCAAUUUCAAUGUCGUCAUUUGUGUAUAUUGCUAAUGCCACUGCUAUUGCAUUUUUUUUAGCAUGGCGGCGCCUAUUAGUCAAACUAGGUGGUGACAACAGUUCUCAUUAGCAAUCUGAUCCCAAUUAACUUUGUAUAUUAAUCGUGCAAUUUUGUAUCUUACCUUUCCUCUUAGAAUGUCUAUCUUUCUGUAUAGUGUAAUAGAUUUUUGUCCAGUGUUAAAAAUACCAUGUAGAAACGGUGCAUUCUUUUCGUUGCUUGUUUUGUUGUUUUGUUCAAUCCUGUCCGCGCAGGCUUGCUUGGAGGGACUGGGGUGGGUCUAAAAAAAGAAUAGGCAUGAAUCCGGAGCUGUGUGUGCAUACUAGCAUACCUGAUUGAACUUUUAAGAAAUGGUGUUUACACAAAUGGAGCUAAUCAUCUUGCAUCCUUUGUGGCAUCUGAGCUGUCCUGUGUCUGUUUCUAUUGAGGCAUCGGCAUUUUGUUGCCUCCAAGGACAAAGCUUAUGUAUUUUGAUCGAUACAAAUCAGAACAAGGCUUUCGACAUGUUUGGAUCCCAAUCUUCGUCUUAACACAUUUAUUUGGUAAAUCAAGACCAACAUAACUGGAGAAAAGCAUCAAUCUUAUUACAGAUGAGCAUGUGCAGCAUGUACUGUAUAGCCUUGCAACAGAAGCAUAGUAUAUUUUCAACGGGCAUCCUUUUUUUAAGAGCUGGAGUAGGGGAAUCCCCUAAUAUAUUGCGGCAACUUUAUUAAUAAAGGCCCACGGAGGCUAUUAACAAACUGUACAACGCCUACAGUAGGCUAGCCUUAGAGAGACGAACGAGAAAUGAAUAAAGCUAAACAAAGUUGUUAAUCCAGUGGGAUAACGAAACAUGUAAAGCACAUUUAAUUCUGUGCAACUAUAAGUGCACAAUGUUAAUGAAAGUGCUAAUGAAUUGCUCCAUCAUUUGUGAAAAGUUAGAUUGACUUGCUGAAAGAUUUUUGCAUUCAUUUGCUUUCA